rnacentral:rRNA from 1 species
UACGUAGGGACCAAGCGUUGUUCGGAUUUACUGGGCGUAAAGGGCGCGUAGGCGGCGCAACAAGUCACUUGUGAAAUCUCCGGGCUUAACCCGGAGCGGUCAAGUGAUACUGUCGUGCUAGAGUGCGGAAGGGGCUACUGGAAUUCUCGGUGUAGCGGUUGAAAUGCGUAGAUAUCGAGAGGGAACACCUGCGGCGAAGGCGGGUAGCUGGGCCGACACUGACGUGAUGCGCGAAAAGCCAGGGGGAGCGAACGGG